CCUACGGGGGGCUGCAGUGGGGAAUAUUGGACAAUGGGCGAAAGCCUGAUCCAGCCAUGCCGCGUGUGUGAAGAAGGCCUUCGGGUUGUAAAGCACUUUCAGUGGGGAAGAAAGCCUUGGGGCUAAUACCCUCGAGGAAGGACAUCACCCACAGAAGAAGCACCGGCUAACUCCGUGCCAGCAGCCGCGGUAAUACGGAGGGUGCGAGCGUUAAUCGGAAUUACUGGGCGUAAAGCGCGCGUAGGCGGUCUGAUAAGCCGGUUGUGAAAGCCCCGGGCUCAACCUGGGAACGGCAUCCGGAACUGUCAGGCUAGAGUGCAGGAGAGGAAGGUAGAAUUCCCGGUGUAGCGGUGAAAUGCGUAGAGAUCGGGAGGAAUACCAGUGGCGAAGGCGGCCUUCUGGACUGACACUGACGCUGAGGUGCGAAAGCGUGUGUAGCAAACAGGAUUAGAUACCCCGGUAGUC
rnacentral:rRNA from 1 species